rnacentral:rRNA from 1 species
UACGGAGGGGGCUAGCGUUGUUCGGAAUUACUGGGCGUAAAGCGCACGUAGGCGGCUUUGUAAGUUAGAGGUGAAAGCCCGGGGCUCAACUCCGGAAUUGCCUUUAAGACUGCAUCGCUAGAAUUGUGGAGAGGUAAGUGGAAUUCCGAGUGUAGAGGUGAAAUUCGUAGAUAUUCGGAAGAACACCAGUGGCGAAGGCGACUUACUGGACACAUAUUGACGCUGAUGUGCGAAAGCGUGGGGAGCAAACAGG